AUUGAACGCUGGCGGCAUGCUUUACACAUGCAAGUCGAACGGUAACAGGCCGCAAGGUGCUGACGAGUGGCGAACGGGUGAGUAAUGCAUCGGAACGUGCCCAGUCGUGGGGGAUAACGCAGCGAAAGCUGCGCUAAUACCGCAUACGAUCUAUGGAUGAAAGCGGGGGACCGUAAGGCCUCGCGCGAUUGGAGCGGCCGAUGUCAGAUUAGGUAGUUGGUAGGGUAAAGGCCUACCAAGCCAACGAUCUGUAGCUGGUCUAAGAGGACGACCAGCCACACUGGGACUGGGACACGGCUCAGACUCCUACGGGAGGCAGCAGUGGGGAAUUUUGGACAAUGGGCGCAAGCCUGAUCCAGCAAUGCCGCGUGCAGGAAGAAGGCCUUCGGGUUGUAAACUGCUUUUGUACGGAACGAAAAGGCUCUGGUUAAUACCUGGGGCUCAUGACGGUACCGUAAGAAUAAGCACCGGCUAACUACGUGCCAGCCGCCGCAGUAAAAC
rnacentral:rRNA from 1 species